AACGAACGCUGGCGGCAGGCUUAACACAUGCAAGUCGAGCGCGUAGCAAUACGAGCGGCAGACGGGUGAGUAACGCGUGGGAAUCUACCCAACCCUACGGAAUAACGCAUGGAAACGUGUGCUAAUACCGUAUACGCCCUUCGGGGAAGGAUUAUCGGGGAGUGGAUGAGCCCGCGUUGGAUUAGCUAGUUGGUGGGGUAAGGGACCUACCAAGGCGACGAUCCAUAGCUGGUCUGAGAGGAUGAUCAGCCACAUUGGGACUGAGACACGGCCCAAACUCCUACGGGAGGCAGCAGUGGGGAAUAUUGGACAAUGGGCGCAAGCCUGAUCCAGCCAUGCCGCGUGAGUGAUGAAGG
rnacentral:rRNA from 1 species